rnacentral:rRNA from 1 species
UGGGGGAUAUUGCACAAUGGGCGAAAGCCUGAUGCAGCGACGCCGCGUGGGGGAUGAAGGCUUUCGGGUUGUAAACCUCUUUCGCUAUCGAACAAGGCCCGCUUAGGGUGGGUUGAGGGUAGGUGGAGAAGAAGCGCCGGCUAACUACGUGCCAGCAGCCGCGGUAAUACGUAGGGCGCGAGCGUUGUCCGGAAUUAUUGGGCGUAAAGGGCUUGUAGGCGGCUUGUUGCGCCUGCUGUGAAAACGCGGGGCUUAACUUCGCGCGUGCAGUGGGUACGGGCAGGCUUGAGUGUGGUAGGGGUGACUGGAAUUCCAGGUGUAGCGGUGGAAUGCGCAGAUAUCUGGAGGAACACCGAUGGCGAAGGCAGGUCACUGGGCCAUUACUGACGCUGAGGAGCGAAAGCAUGGGUAGCGAACGGG